UUGCGCCCGAAGCCAUUAGGCCGAGGGCACGUCUGCCUGGGCGUCACAC
rnacentral:rRNA from 1 species